UAGGGAAUCUUCGGCAAUGGGGGGAACCCUGACCGAGCAACGCCGCGUGAGUGAAGAAGGUUUUCGGAUCGUAAAGCUCUGUUGUUAAGGAAGAACGAGUGUGAGAAUGGAAAGUUCAUGCUGUGACGGUACUUAACCAGAAAGGGACGGCUAACUACGUGCCAGCAGCCGCUGUAAUACGUUGGUCCCGAGCGUUGUCCGGAUUUAUUGGGCGUAAAUCGAGCGCAGGCGGUUAGAAAAGUCUGAAGUGAAAGGCAGUGGCUCAACCAUUGUAUGCUUUGGAAACUGUUUAACUUGAGUGCAGAAGGGGAGAGUGGAAUUCCAUGUGUAGCGGUGAAAUGCGUAGAUAUAUGGAGGAACACCGGUGGCGAAAGCGGCUCUCUGGUCUGUAACUGACGCUGAGGCUCGAAAGCGUGGGGAGCGAACAGG
rnacentral:rRNA from 1 species